rnacentral:rRNA from 1 species
UCAUUUAAAGAGUGCGUAAUAGCUCACUGGUCGAGUGAUUCUGCGCCGAAAAUUUCCGGGGCUAAAACUUACUACCGAAGCUACGGCAUCAUUAUGAUGGGUAGGGGAGCUUUCUAUGUGGCUUGAAGCAUGACCGUAAGGACAUGUGGACUGCAUAGAAGUGAGAAUGUUGGCAUGAGUAGCGAGAUGUGGGUGAGAAUCCCACAGGCCGUAAACCCAAGGUUUCCAGGGGAAGGUUCGUCCGCCCUGGGUUAGUCAGGACCUAAGCCGAGGCCGAAAGGCGUAGGUGAUGGACAACAGGUUGAUAUUCCUGUACCACCAAUAACCGUUUGAGAAAUGGGAUGACACAGUAGGAUAAGCUAACCGCACUGUUGGUUAUGUGCGGGCAAGUAUUGAGGCAGUUCCGAUAGGCAAAUCCGUCGGAAUAAUGCUGGGGUACGAUGCGGAGCGAAAUUUAGUAGCGAAGUAGCUGAUUUCACACUGUCGAGAAAAGUCUCUAUCGAGGUUAAAGGUGCCUGUACCGCAAACCGACACAGGUGGGUGAGGAGAGUAUCCUAAGGCCAGCGAGAGAACUGUUGUUAAGGAACUCGGCAAAAUGACCCCGUAACUUAGGGAGAAGGGGUGCCUUCGAAAGAAGGCCGCAGAGAAUAGGCCCAAGCGACUGUUUACCAAAAACAUAGGUUUCUGCUAAGUCGCAAGACGAUGUAUAGGAGCUGACGCCUGCCCGGUGCUGGAAGGUUAAGGGGAUCUGUUAGAGCAAUCGAAGCAGUGAACUUAAGCCCCAGUAAACGGCGGCCGUAACUAUAACGGUCCUAAGGUAGCGAAAUUCCUUGUCGGGUAAGUUCCGACCCGCACGAAAGGCGUAACGAUUUGGGCACUGUCUCAACAACAGACUCGGUGAAAUUGUAAUACCGGUGAAGAUGCCGGUUACCUGCGACAGGACGGAAAGACCCCAUGGAGCUUUACUGUAGCUUGACAUUGAGUCUCGGUGCUACAUGUACAGGAUAGGUGGGAGACUAUGAAGCAUGGACGUCAGUCUGUGUGGAGUCAUCCUUGGGAUACCACCCUUGUAGUACUGGGAUUCUAACCAGAGGCCAUGAAUCUGGUCUUGGGACACUGUCAGGUGGACAGUUUGACUGGGGCGGUCGCCUCCCAAAGAGUAACGGAGGCGCUCAAAGGUUCUCUCAGUACGGUCGGAAAUCGUACGAAGAGUGUAAAGGCAAAAGAGAGCUUGAUUGCAAGACAUACAGGUCGAGCAAGGACGAAAGUCGGACUUAGUGAUCCGGUGGUUCCGCAUGGAAGGGCCAUCGCUCAACGGAUAAAAGCUACCCUGGGGAUAACAGGCUGAUCUCCCCCAAGAGUCCACAUCGACGGGGAGGUUUGGCACCUCGAUGUCGGCUCAUCACAUCCUGGGGCUGUAGUAGGUCCCAAGGGUUGGGCUGUUCGCCCAUUAAAGUGGUACGCGAGCUGGGUUCAGAACGUCGUGAGACAGUUCGGUCCCUAUCCGUCGCAGGCGUAGGAAAUUUGAGGAGACCUGUCCUUAGUACGAGAGGACCGGGAUGGACGUACCGCUGGUGUACCAGUUGUUCUGCCAAGGGCAUGGCUGGGUAGCUAAGUACGGAAAGGAUAAGCGCUGAAAGCAUCUAAGCGCGAAGCCCACUUCAAGAUAAGAUUUCCCACCGCAAGGUUAAGAUCCCAGGAAGACUACCUGGUUGA